rnacentral:rRNA from 1 species
GUGUCAGCAGCCGCGGUAAGACGAACCGUCCGAACGUUAUUCGGAAUCACUGGGCUUAAAGAGUGCGUAGGCGGCUUAUCAGGCGGGGUGUGAAAUCCCUCGGCCCAACCGAGGAAUAGCGCUCCGAACCGAUAGGCUUGAGGAGGAUAGAGGUAAGCGGAACAGAUGGUGGAGCGGUGAAAUGCGUUGAUAUCAUCUGGAACACCUGUGGCGAAAGCGGCUUACUGGGUCCUUUCUGACGCUGAGGCACGAAAGCCAGGGUAGCGAACGGGAUUAGAUACCCCCGUAGUCC